AAUACUUUUACUAAAAAAGUAAUCCUUAUCGGAAGUACUUGUAAUUAUAAUAUUUCAACAUAUAUAUGUUAUGGAUCUAUUAAGAACUUUUGUUCAACAUUAGUUUAUAUAUUACAGGAACCAAGCACUAUACACCUCAGGAUGAAAAAUAUAAAUUAGUGCUUGCAAUCAUCCAUAUGGUAGAAUGAUCAUUACCCAAGACUUGCAAGUCGACCACAAGCGUCAAAGUGAGCUUCCACCAUUAGAGAUUUAGUUGAUAGGCUUGAUACCCAUUCCGCUUGAGGUCUUUAUUACCAAAUCUUUUUUCAGACUUUUGGUAAAUGGAUUUGCUAAAUCUUCACAAGACCUCAUAUAACUUAUAGUGACUAUACCAUCACUAAUUCUUUAUCAUACAAUGCUAUGUCAAAAUUCAAUAUAUCAAUUUUUUCCAUUGUAUGCUUCAUUAUAUGCCUUUGAUA
rnacentral:lncRNA from 1 species